GACAGUUCAAUUGGUAAAUGCUUGCCUUAUAAGCAUGAAAAUUUGGUUUGAUUCCAAGAACUGCCA
rnacentral:tRNA from 1 species